AUGUUGAGUCUCCUGAACAGGAGACAGGAGGAGAGGCUACGUGAACAGGAGGAGAGGCUACGUGAACAGGAGGAGAGGCUACGUGAACAGGAGGAGAGGCUGUGUGAACAGGAGGAGAGGCUACGUGAACAGGAGGAGAGGCUGUGUGAACAGGAGAAGCUGCCAGGGCAGGAGAGGCUGCUGGAAGAGGUGGAGAAGCUGUUAGAACAGGAGAGGCGGCAGGAGGAGCAGGAGAGGCUGCUGGAGAGGGAGAGGCUGCUGGAAGAGGUGGAGAAGCUGUUAGAACAGGAGAGGCUUCGGCAACAGGAUGAGAGGCUGUGGCAGCAGGAGACUCUGCAGGAGCUGGAGAGGCUGCGGGAGCUGGAGAGGAUGCUGGAGCUGGGGUGGGAAGCCCUGUACGAGCAGCGGGCCGAGCCACGCAGCGGCUUCGAGGAGCUGAACAACGAGAACAAGAGCACACUGCAGUUGGAGCAGCAAGUAAAGGAGCUGAAGAAGUCGGGUGGAGCUGAAGAGCCAAGAGGCUCCGAGUCUGCAGCAGCAGCCAGACCAGUAGCUGGAGCCCCAGUCCCACAAGGAGCUUGGAUGUGCGGACAAGCAGGGUGGACUCCCCAGGAGCACCCAGGCUUGGGUGGAGAAGCUGUUGGUACAGGAGAGGCGGCAGGAGGAGCAGGAGAGGCUGCAUGCCAUUCUUUUCGGGCUGCCGAGAACAGGGAGCUAAACAUCACCAUCAUCUAAGAGCGGGUC
rnacentral:lncRNA from 1 species